GACGGAAGGUGCAAGCGUUGCUCGGAAUCACUGGGCGUAAAGGGUGCGUAGGCGCCGUGCAAGUCUGGCGUGAAAUCCCCGGGCUCAACCCGGGAACUGCGUCCGAUACUGGCAGGCUUGAAUUCGGGAGAGGGAUGUGGAAUUCCAGGUGUAGCGGUGAAAGUGCGCAGAUAUCAGGAGGAACACCGGUGGCGAAGGCGGGUCUCUGGGCAGUAACUGACGCUGAGGAGCGAAAGCGUGGGUAGCAAACAGG
rnacentral:rRNA from 1 species